GCCGAGCUCGGUUGCACGGGCUUGUAACCCAAGUGGGGGCAUUAAGGUGGUGUGGAUAUUUGGUGCGGACUCUGGGCUCAGGUCUAUGGUGUGCCCUUGCUAGCCCUGCCCGUUCCAAGUUGUAGUGGCUUGUGCAGCCUAAGUGAAAGCUCGGGCUUCACUGGACCUGAAGUGGGGGCUUCACUGGACCUGAAGUGGCAGGAACAACGUGAGGCUGGCUUCGGAUAAGGAGAAAUGUGGUGCGCUACACGACACGAUAAAAAACAUCGC
rnacentral:SRP_RNA from 1 species